GUCAGAUGUGUAUAAGUGGCAGCACCUGACCCCAUGCCGAACUCAGAAGUGAAACACCGUAGCGCCGAUGGUAGUGUGGGGUCUCCCCAUGUGAGAGUAGGGAACUGCCA
rnacentral:rRNA from 1 species